GGUGAGGUAGAGAGGGGAGAGGAGAGGUGAGGUAGAGAGAGGAGAGGUGAGGUAGAGAGAGGUGAGGUGAGGUAAGGAGAGGAGAGGAGAGGUGAGGUAGAGAGAGGAGAGUUAGGGAGAGGAGAGUUAGGGAGAGGAGAGUUAGGAAGAGGAGAGUUAAGGAGAGGUGAGGUAGAGAGAGGAGAGGAGAGGUGAGGUAGAGAGAGGAGAGGAGAGGUGAGGUAGAGAGAGGAGAGGAGAGGUGAGGUAGAGAGAGACGAGGUAGAGAGAGGAGAGUUAGGGAGAGGAGAGGUAGAGAGAGGAGAGGUAGGGAGAGGUGAGGUGAGAAGGAGAGGGGAGAGGUGAGGUGAGGUAGAGAGAGGAGAGAUGAGGUGAGGUAGAGAGAGGAGAGGUGAGGUAGAGAGAGGAGAGGAGAGGUGAGGUAGGGAGAGGAGAGUUAGGGAGAGGAGAGUUAGGGAGAGGAGAGUUAGGAAGAGGAGAGUUAGGGAGAGGAGAGUUAGGGAGAGGUGAGGUAGAGAGGGGAGAGGAGAGGUGAGGUAGAGAGAGGAUUGGAGAGGUGAGGUAGAGAGAGGAGAGGAGAGGUGAGGUAGAGAGAGGAGAGUUAGGGAGAGGAGAGUUAGGGAGAGGUGAGGUAGAGAGAGGAGAGGAGACGCACACACACACAGACUAUCUCUACCCGUUUGUCUCCCCACCAUCCAUCCACCCAUCCAUCCAUCCAUCCAUCCCUCUCUCCCCCUCUGUCUCCCCAUCUAUCCAUCCUCACAUCUGUCUCCCCCAUCCAACCAUCCAUCCAUCCUCACCACUCUCUCCCCCCUCUGCCUUCCCCGUCCAUCCAUUCUCACCCCUCUCUCUCCCCCAUCUGUCUCCCCCAUUCACUCAUCCUCACCUAAUCUCCCCCUCCACUCCCCUCAUCCCUCUGUGUGUGUGAAGUGGGGGUUGGUGUCAAGUUUCCCUUUUCAUUUGAGAGGCUCCCAAUCUUUGCUGUUGGAGAGGAAAGUGUUUAAAGAUGAAAAGAGGACUGAACAGGUAACUUGAUAUGCUGACUCCUUUUAUUGAGUCCCUCUUUUCAGCACCAAGAGUCUGUCUCUCUCUCUC
rnacentral:lncRNA from 1 species